CCAGCAGCCGCGGUAAUUCCAGCUCCAAUAGCGUAUAUUAAAGUUGUUGCAGUUAAAAAGCUCGUAGUUGGAUUUCUGGUUUGAGCGUCCGGUCCGCUCCUUUGGAGUGUGUACUAAGGAUGCUUGAGCCAUUUUUUGUGAGGACGUUCUUCUGCCAUUAAGUUGGUGGUUGGAUGGACUUGCAUCGUUUACUGUGAAAAAAUUAGAGUGUUUAAAGCAGGCGUUUGCUCAUUGAAUACAUUAGCAUGGAAUAAUAAGAUACGACCUUGGUGGUCUAUUUUGUUGGUUUGCACACCAGGGUAAUGAUUAAUAGGGACAGUUGGGGGUAUUCAUAUUUCAACGUCAGAGGUGAAAUUCUUGGAUCGUUGAAAG
rnacentral:rRNA from 1 species